ACAAGCUGAUCCACCGACAGUCACAUGAGGAAUAUUCAUGUCUGGAGGCUGCAAGAUGGCCAUUUUAAACCGGAAGUUUAAGGAGGACCACCUCACCAAGGCAGAGAAUAAACCAUGUUCAACAUAUUCCACUGUGACGUCCAGAAACAGCUCAGCUCUGAAAGAUUCUGCUUACCUUAAUAAUCCGAGCCAGUCCGAAGUCGGCCACCUUGCACACCAGAUCGUCUCCCACCAGGAUGUUCCUGGCAGCCAGGUCUCUGUGGACGAUGUUUCUAUCCUCCAG